rnacentral:tRNA from 1 species
CUUAAAAUAGUUUAUUAAAACAACAGCUUUGGGAGCUUUAGAUAAUAUAGUAUUAUAUUUUUUUAGAA